UGGGGAAUCUUGCACAAUGGGGGAAACCCUGAUGCAGCGACGCCGCGUGAACGAUGAAGCCCUUCGGGGUGUAAAGUUCUUUCGACAGGAACGAUAAUGACGGUACCUGGAGAAGAAGCUGCGGCUAACUACGUGCCAGCAGCCGCGGUAAUACGUAGGCAGCGAGCGUUGUUCGGAGUUACUGGGCGUAAAGAGUGCGUAGGCGGCGAGCCAAGUUUGGUGUGAAAUCUCCCGGCUUAACCGGGAGGGUGCGCCGAAAACUGGUUGGCUGGAGUAUGGGAGAGGAAAGCGGAAUUCCGGGUGUAGCGGUGAAAUGCGUAGAUAUCAGGAGGAACACCUGCGGUGUAGACAGCUUUCUGGACCAAAACUGACGCUGAGGCACGAAAGCGUGGGUAGCAAACA
rnacentral:rRNA from 1 species